rnacentral:lncRNA from 1 species
CCCCAAUCCCAAUUUUUUCCCCUCCCAAUUCCCGUUUUUCCCUCUUUUUCCCCCAGAUUUGUUUCCCGGCUGCUCCAAGAGGAAGCGAAGCCCCUCGGGCGCUCCCCAGGCCCGGAAACGACGGAAGAGGAACCAAAAAUCCCAUCCUGGAACCCCAAAAUCCCAUCCUGGAACCCCAAAAUCCCAACCUGGAACCCCAAAAUCCUGUUGUAAAACCUUAAAAAUCACAUCCAAAUUCCAAAAAAUUCCGCUCUGGAACCCCAAAAAUUCCGCUCCGGAACCCCAAAAAUUCCGCUCUGGAACCCCAAAAUUCCCGAUCCGAAACCCCAAAAUUCCGCUCCGGAACCCCGAAAAUCUCGUUAGAAAAACCCCAAAAAUCGCAUCCUAUAUAUAAGGGAUUCCGCUCUGGAACCCCGAAAUUCCCGAUCCGGAACGCCGAAAUUCCGCUCUGGAACCCCAAAAUUCCUGAUCUGGAACCCCAAAAUUCCGCUCCGGAACCCCAAAAUUUCGCUCCGGAACCCCAAAAAUUGCAUCCUAUAUAUAAAGGAUUCCUGAUCUGGAACCCCGAAAUCCCGCUCCGGAACCCCGAAAAAUCGCGUCCUAUAUAUAGGGGAUUCCGCUCCGGAACCCCGAAAUUCCCGCUCUGGAACCCCAAAAAUCCCAUUAGAAAAACCCAAAAUUCGCAUCCUAUAUAUAGGGGAUUCCGCUCUGGAACCCCAAAAUUCCUGAUCUGGAACCCCGAAAUUCCGCUCUGGAACCCCCCCAAAAAUUCCCA